rnacentral:rRNA from 1 species
AUGAACAUGAACUACGGCUCCAUGGGUCCUGGCGCGAUGGUGCGGUGCAGGCAGUGCAGCUCGAGCAUCACGGCGAUGCCCGGCGCCCGCGCCGUGCAGUGCAUGCAGUGCAGCUGCGUCACCCGCGUCAGCGGGCGUGGCCGGCAGCAGCACGGCUACGGCCAGGGUUACGGGAACGGCGGCGGGAUGCUGAUGCCGCCGAUGCGUCCCACCCCGGCCUUCGGCGGCGGCCGCGGCAAGAAGCGCGCCGUGCUGAUCGGGAUCAAGUACACCAACCGGCGCUCCUGCGAGCUGCGGGGCCCCAUCAACGACGUCAAGUGCAUGCGCUACCUGCUCACCGAGCGCUUCGGCUUCCCCAACGACUGCGUCCUCAUCCUCACCGAUGAGGAGAGGAACCCGUGCAGGCAGCCGACUAAGGACAACAUCCGCAUGGCGAUGCACUGGCUGGUGCAGGGGUGCAGCUACGGCGACUCCCUGGUAUUCCAGUUCUCCGGCCUGGGCGCGCAGGUCCCCGACGACGACGGCGACGAGCUGGACGGCAUGGACGAGGCCCUCUGCCCCGUGGACUCGUUCCAGCAGGGCCCCAUCCUGGACGACGAGAUCAACGAGGCCAUCGUCCGCCCGCUGGUGCACGGCGUCAAGCUCCACGCCAUCGUCGACGCCUGCCACAGCGCCACCGUCCUCGACCUCCCCUACCAAUGCACCGUGUCCAAGCAGACCGGGCGCUGGAGGUGGAGGGACGAGCGCCCUAUGACCGGCGCCUGCAAGGGCACCAGCGGAGGCCAGGCCGUGCUCAUCAGUGGCAGCAGCAACGGAAAGAGCAACAUGAGCGUGCUGCCUGAGCCCUACGCCACGAUCGGCGCCAUGACGCACAGCUUCAUCCGAGCGGUGGAGUGCGAGCCGCGCACCACCUACGGCCGCCUGCUCACCUCCAUGAGGGCCAUCAUGCGCGACAGCGGCGGCAACUGCAACCUGCAAGGCCCCAUCGGCGGCUCCAUCCACAAGGUCGCAAACUUCAGCGGCGUGGAGGAGCCUCAGCUGUCCUCUGCCUACAAGUUUGACAUCGAGCGCGAGCCGUUCUGCAUGUAG